CCUACGGGUGGCAGCAGUGAGGAAUAUUGGUCAAUGGGCGAGAGCCUGAACCAGCCAAGUCGCGUGAGGGAGUACUGCCCUAUGGGUUGUAAACCUCUUUUGUCGGGGAGCAAAAGCCGGACGUGUCCGGCUGUGAGAGUACCCGAAGAAAAAGCAUCGGCAAACCCCGUGCCAGCAGCCGCGGUAAUACGGAGGAGGCGAGCGUUAUCCGGUUUUAUUGGGUUUAAAGGGGGCGCAGGCGGGUGUUUAAGUUAGCGGCAAAAUCGUGGGGCUCAACCCCAUCCAGCCGUUGAAACUGGGGAUCUAGAGUGUGCGAGAGGUAUGCGGAAUGCGUGGUGUAGCGGUGAAAUGCUUAGAUAUCACGCAGAACCCCGAUUGCGAAGGCAGCCUGCCAAGCCAUGACUGACGCUGAUGCACGAAAGCGUGGGGAUCAAACAGGAUUAGAUACCCCAGUAGUC
rnacentral:rRNA from 1 species